rnacentral:rRNA from 1 species
GACGAACGCUGGCGGCGUGCCUAAUACAUGCAAGUCGAAUGAGAGCGACCGGUGCUUGCACUGGUCAAUCUAGUGGCGAACGGGUGAGUAACACGUGGGUAACCUGCCCAUCAGAGGGGGAUAACAUCCGGAAACGGAUGCUAAAACCGCAUAGGUCUUCGAGCCGCAUGGCUUGAAGAGGAAAAGAGGCGCAAGCUUCUGCUGAUGGAUGGACCCGCGGUGCAUUAGCUAGUUGGUGAGGUAACGGCUCACCAAGGCCGUGAUGCAUAGCCGACCUGAGAGGGCGAUCGGCCACAUUGGGACUGAGACACGGCCCAAACUCCUACGGGAGGCAGCAGUAGGGAAUCUUCCGCAAUGGACGCAAGUCUGACGGAGCAACGCCGCGUGAGUGAAGAAGGUUUUCGGAUCGUAAAACUCUGUUGUUAGAGAAGAACAAGUGCUAGAGUAACUGUUAGCGCCUUGACGGUAUCUAACCAGAAAGCCACGGCUAACUACGUG